rnacentral:ncRNA from 1 species
CAUCGGACUUAAACUAUUGAGUGCCCUCGGGGAAACCCGAGGUGCAGAACUGCUCAAAGUCGGGGAAACCUUAACUGGCAAUCCCGAGCCAAGCCUCUCUCCCGAGAGGAAGGUGUAGAGACUAGACGGGCAGCACCUACAGCUUCCAGAGCCAGGGUGAAGGGAUAGUCCAGACCACAAACGCCAGAUGGCG